rnacentral:rRNA from 1 species
AGUUCCAACGACUCUAAAACUCGAGAACUGCUUAAAUGCUAGUCUGCGUUUAGCAGGCAACACUGUCAAAUUGCGGGAACACCCUAAAGACCUCAACACCAAGCGCUCACGGGAAACCGUGGCGUGGCCGAGCUAAUAGCCCUGGGUAUGGUAACAGUUUGAGGUAUGAAGCCCCUUUUGGGGCAGAAAUGGGCAAUCCGCAGCCAAGUCCUAACGCACUUCGGUGUUAUGGAUGCUGUUCACAGGCCAAAUGGUAGUGGGUGACUUUCGGGUUGCUUAAGAUAUGGUCGGGCCCCUUCAGAAAUGUCGGGGAUAAGUUUACGCAGUUACUCAGUGCUUGCAUUGGGUGACGAAGAACUCAUGUAGCGUAAAAACUGCGCUGAGUAAGAACAAACCGUUCCGUAGGUGAACCUGCGGAAGGAUCAUUA